GGGUUGUGAGGUUAAGCGACUAAGCGUACACGGUGGAUGCCCUGGCAGUCAGAGGCGAUGAAGGGCGUGCUAAUCUGCGAUAAGCGCCGGUAAGGUGAUAUGAACCGUUAUAACCGGCGAUACCCGAAUGGGGAAACCCAGUGUGAUUCGUCACACUAUCAUUAACUGAAUCCAUAGGUUAAUGAGGCGAACCGGGGGAACUGAAACAUCUAAGUACCCCGAGGAAAAGAAAUCAACCGAGAUUCCCCAGUAGCGGCGAGCGAACGGGGAGGAGCCCAGAGCCUGAAUCAGCAUGUGUGUUAGUGGAAGCGUCUGGAAAGGCGCGCGAUACAGGGUGACAGCCCCGUACACAAAAGCGCAUGUGCUGUGAGCUCGAUGAGUAGGGCGGGACACGUGGUAUCCUGUCUGAAUAUGGGGGGACCAUCCUCCAAGGCUAAAUACUCCUGACUGACCGAUAGUGAACCAGUACCGUGAGGGAAAGGCGAAAAGAACCCCGGCGAGGGGAGUGAAAAAGAACCUGAAACCGUGUACGUACAAGCAGUGGGAGCACCCUUCGGGGUGUGACUGCGUACCUUUGUAUAAUGGGUCAGCGACUUAUAUUCUGUAGCAAGGUUAACCGUAUAGGGGAGCCGCAGGGAAACCGAGUCUUAAUUGGGCGUUAAGUUGCAGGGUAUAGACCCGAAACCCGGUGAUCUAGCCAUGGGCAGGUUGAAGGUUGGGUAACACUAACUGGAGGACCGAACCGACUAAUGUUGAAAAAUUAGCGGAUGACCUGUGGCUGGGGGUGAAAGGCCAAUCAAACCGGGAGAUAGCUGGUUCUCCCCGAAAGCUAUUUAGGUAGCGCCUCGUGAAUUCAUCUCCGGGGGUAGAGCACUGUUUCGGCUAGGGGGCCAUCCCGGCUUACCAACCCGAUGCAAACUGCGAAUACCGGAGAAUGUUAUCACGGGAGACACACGGCGGGUGCUAACGUCCGUCGUGAAGAGGGAAACAACCCAGACCGCCAGCUAAGGUCCCAAAGUCAUGGUUAAGUGGGAAACGAUGUGGGAAGGCCCAGACAGCCAGGAUGUUGGCUUAGAAGCAGCCAUCAUUUAAAGAAAGCGUAAUAGCUCACUGGUCGAGUCGGCCUGCGCGGAAGAUGUAACGGGGCUAAACCAUGCACCGAAGCUGCGGCAGCGACACUGUGUGUUGUUGGGUAGGGGAGCGUUCUGUAAGCCUGCGAAGGUGGCCUGUGAGGGUUGCUGGAGGUAUCAGAAGUGCGAAUGCUGACAUAAGUAACGAUAAAGCGGGUGAAAAGCCCGCUCGCCGGAAGACCAAGGGUUCCUGUCCAACGUUAAUCGGGGCAGGGUGAGUCGACCCUAAGGCGAGGCCGAAAGGCGUAGUCGAUGGGAAACGGGUUAAUAUUCCCGUACUUGGUGUUACUGCGAAGGGGGACGGAGAAGGCUAUGUUGGCCGGGCGACGGUUGUCCCGGUUUAAGCGUGUAGGUGUGUGUUCCAGGUAAAUCCGGUUCACUUUAACACUGAGGCGUGACGACGAGGCACUACGGUGCUGAAGCAACAAAUGCCCUGCUUCCAGGAAAAGCCUCUAAGCAUCAGGUAACAUCAAAUCGUACCCCAAACCGACACAGGUGGUCAGGUAGAGAAUACCAAGGCGCUUGAGAGAACUCGGGUGAAGGAACUAGGCAAAAUGGUGCCGUAACUUCGGGAGAAGGCACGCUGACACGUAGGUGAAGUGAUUUACUCAUGGAGCUGAAGUCAGUCGAAGAUACCAGCUGGCUGCAACUGUUUAUUAAAAACACAGCACUGUGCAAACACGAAAGUGGACGUAUACGGUGUGACGCCUGCCCGGUGCCGGAAGGUUAAUUGAUGGGGUCAGCGCAAGCGAAGCUCCUGAUCGAAGCCCCGGUAAACGGCGGCCGUAACUAUAACGGUCCUAAGGUAGCGAAAUUCCUUGUCGGGUAAGUUCCGACCUGCACGAAUGGCGUAAUGAUGGCCAGGCUGUCUCCACCCGAGACUCAGUGAAAUUGAACUCGCUGUGAAGAUGCAGUGUACCCGCGGCAAGACGGAAAGACCCCGUGAACCUUUACUAUAGCUUGACACUGAACAUUGAGCCUUGAUGUGUAGGAUAGGUGGGAGGCUUUGAAGUGUGGACGCCAGUCUGCAUGGAGCCGACCUUGAAAUACCACCCUUUAAUGUUUGAUGUUCUAACGUGGACCCGUAAUCCGGGUUGCGGACAGUGUCUGGUGGGUAGUUUGACUGGGGCGGUCUCCUCCUAAAGAGUAACGGAGGAGCACGAAGGUUGGCUAAUCCUGGUCGGACAUCAGGAGGUUAGUGCAAUGGCAUAAGCCAGCUUGACUGCGAGCGUGACGGCGCGAGCAGGUGCGAAAGCAGGUCAUAGUGAUCCGGUGGUUCUGAAUGGAAGGGCCAUCGCUCAACGGAUAAAAGGUACUCCGGGGAUAACAGGCUGAUACCGCCCAAGAGUUCAUAUCGACGGCGGUGUUUGGCACCUCGAUGUCGGCUCAUCACAUCCUGGGCUGAAGUAGGUCCCAAGGGUAUGGCUGUUCGCCAUUUAAAGUGGUACGCGAGCUGGGUUUAGAACGUCGUGAGACAGUUCGGUCCCUAUCGCCGUGGGCGCUGGAGAACUGAGGGGGGCUGCUCCUAGUACGAGAGGACCGGAGUGGACGCAUCACUGGUGUUCGGGUUGUCAUGCCAAUGGCACUGCCCGGUAGCUAAAUGCGGAAGAGAUAAGUGCUGAAAGCAUCUAAGCACGAAACUUGCCCCGAGAUGAGUUCUCCCUGAGACUUAAAGUCUCCUGAAGGAACGUUGAAGACGACGACGUUGAUAGGCCGGGUGUGUAAGCGCAGCGAUGCGUUGAGCUAACCGGUACUAAUGAACCGUGAGGCUUAACCUUACAACGCCGAAG
rnacentral:rRNA from 1 species